rnacentral:rRNA from 1 species
GACGAACGCUGGCGGCGUGCUUAACACAUGCAAGUCGAACGGAAAGGCCCUGCUUUUGUGGGGUGCUCGAGUGGCGAACGGGUGAGUAACACGUGAGUAACCUGCCCUUGACUUUGGGAUAACUUCAGGAAACUGGGGCUAAUACCGGAUAGGAGCUCCUGCUGCAUGGUGGGGGUUGGAAAGUUUCGGCGGUUGGGGAUGGACUCGCGGCUUAUCAGCUUGUUGGUGGGGUAGUGGCUUACCAAGGCUUUGACGGGUAGCCGGCCUGAGAGGGUGACCGGCCACAUUGGGACUGAGAUACGGCACAGACGCCUGCGGGAGGCGGCAGUGGGGAAAAUUGCACGAUGGGCGGAAGCCUGAUACAGCAACGCCGCGGACGGGAUGACGGCCUUCGGGUUGGGAACCGAUUUCGCCUGUGACGAAGCGUGAGAGACGGUAAUGGGUUGAGAAGCACCGGCUAACUACGUGC